AAAGCACCCUCGGGUACCGUCACCGCUCUUUCCGCUGCUACCCUUAUUAAACCACAGAAGAAGACUUCUCCGACACCCACUGACUGAGAGAGAGAAGGAGAGAGAUGAAAGGUGUUAGCGGUUUCGACGAAGGAGUAGCUUCGGCGGGGUCGACGUCGGCGGCGGACGUGGUGGUGGUGGAGAAGGACUACGUGGGGCUUUCGGAGGCGGCCUCCUCGCAUCCUGCCGUGGAGGAGGAGGAUACGGAGGCCAGGGACGAGAGGGAGGAGGAGCUGGAGCUAGGUUUGAGCCUGGGGGCGAAGAAGGUUUCCGGUGGCGGCGGUGGCAAGGCUGCUGCGGCGGUGGCUGCGACGUGGGGGCAUUGUUGUAGAAUUCUCACGGCCAAGGACUUCCCUUCUCUGGUCUCCCGUGAGUCGCCGAGGUCGUCCUCCACCUCCUCCGUUUCCUCCCCCUCCGCUGCUUUGGGUGGUGGAGUGAGCGGUUGCGGCGGCGUCGCCGGCACUAAGAGGGCAGCGGACACCGUUUCCCCGGAUGUCGUCGGAUCCGGUCACCCACCUAGUCAGGUGGUGGUGGGAUGGCCACCUAUAAGGGCAUUCAGGAUGAACAGCUUGUUUAACCAAUCAAAAGAUAACACCUCUCAGACUGAUGCUGCCGCCCCCAAGAAAACCAACAGCAACAACACCAGUAUGAAGGAAGCCAAGGGGAAUAAUGAUCAGGCUCAUAAUGGGAGGGCUGCUGUGAGCUCUCGCUUUGUUAAGGUGAACAUGGAUGGAGAUCCCAUUGGGAGGAAGGUGGAUCUCAAUGCUCAUCAGUCUUAUGAAACCCUUGCACUAUCUCUGGAGCUCAUGUUUCACAAACCCACCAUGGCCCUCAGUACCUCUGCCCUGGAUGAUGGCAGAUGGUGCGAAGGCCUCGAAGUUGUUGGAUGGCUCUUCUGAGUUUGCUCUUACUUAUGAAGACAGAGAUGGGGACUGGAUGCUUGUCGGAGAUGUCCCAUGGGGGAUGUUCUUGGACACCGCCAAGAGACUUAGAAUCAUGAGGACCUCUGAUGCCAGUGGGCUUGCUCCAAGGUUCCAAUCCUCAAGCAAAUCUUGAAAAGGAGAUGAAAGGACAGGUGCUGUUGACUAUACAGAGAAAAACAAGAGAAAGUAGAAAACUAGAGUUGAGAACAAGGUCUUUUCAUUUUUGCUUCUUUUUUGUUUGUUUUUGUUUUUGGUUUUUUUUUUUUUUUUUCUUUUUGUUGGAGCAGGGGGUCAAGCCUAGAUCAUCACCACUAUCCAUUUGUUAUUUUGCCCCUUCAAAACCCCUCUCUGGUCAGUUACCCCUUGUGUUGGGUGGUUUGCUAGGUAUACCCAUAUGUUUUCUAUUUCUUUGUAGCUCCAUACAAUAGUGCCUCCAAUACUGUAAAUAUUGUUGUCUGUGCUGCUUCAAGAUUUGAGGGAUGAGAUAGUUUAUCCGUUUCACAUAUCCCAGUGAAAUAUAUUGUGGUGGAUGUUUACCGUUAUUUUUUUGAUGUAUGCUUCAGGUAUGGGUUAGAUGGAUCUUUUAAUUACCCAUAUCAGAAAUCUCUCUUUGUGCAGAAGUUCCAUUUCGGGGGCUUUCCACUAUUUUGUCUCUUGGCAUGGUGCCAUCUAUCAGUUGCUUGAACUAAUUGUGCUGGUGUUGCAGUGCAUCAGAUGCAUGUAUGAUGCUUGUAUUUUGUAAUCUUUGUGCCUCUGUAUCUAUGAAUGGAUCGGAAAACAUGGCUCUGGCUC